UUUUUCAAGGGGACAACUCAGA
rnacentral:miRNA from 1 species